rnacentral:rRNA from 1 species
UACAGAGGGUGCAAGCGUUGUUCGGAAUUACUGGGCGUAAAGGGCGUGCAGGCGGCCUGAUAAGUCAGAUGUGAAAGUCCUCGGCUCAACCGGGGAAGUGCAUUUGAAACUGUCAGGCUUGAGUACCAGAGGGGAAAGUGGAAUUCCCGGUGUAGAGGUGAAAUUCGUAGAUAUCGGGAGGAAUACCGGUGGCGAAGGCGACUUUCUGGCUGGAUACUGACGCUGAGACGCGAAAGCGCGGGGAGCAAACAGG